rnacentral:rRNA from 1 species
CUACGGGGCGCUGCAGUGGGGAAUAUUGGACAAUGGGGGAAACCCUGAUCCAGCAAUGCCGCGUGUGUGAAGAAGGCCUGCGGGUUGUAAAGCACUUUCGGUUGGGAGGACUGCUUCUAGCACUAAUAUUGUUGGAAGUUGACGUUACCUUCAGAAGAAGCACCGGCUAACUCCGUGCCAGCAGCCGCGGUAAUACGGAGGGGCAAGCGUUAAUCGGAAUUACUGGGCGUAAAGCGCGCGUAGGCGGCUAGAUCAGUCGGGUGUGAAAGCCCCGGGCUUAACCUGGGAACUGCAUCCGAUACUGUCUAGCUGGAGUACAGGAGAGGAGAGUUGAAUUCCACAUGUAGCGGUGAAAUGCGUAGAUAUGUGGAGGAACACCAAUGGCGAAGGCAGCUCUCUGGCCUGAUACUGACGCUGAGGUGCGAAAGCGUGGGGAGCAAACAGGAUUAGAUACCCUCGUAGUC